GAAGUUCCUGCGGGGUCGAACUGGGAACACACGAGACGACGAGCUCCUCUCCUCGAUUCCACAGCUCGUGUGUUCUCAGGUCGCCCCCGCUGGAGCCUC
rnacentral:pre_miRNA from 1 species